UACGGAGGGUGCGAGCGUUGUCCGGAAUCAUUGGGCGUAAAGGGCGCGUAGGUGGCGGCUUAAGCGUGCGGUGAAAGCUCGGGGCUCAACCCCGAGUCGGCCGUGCGAACUGAGUCGCUUGAGCACUGUAGAGGCAGGCGGAAUUCCGGGUGUAGCGGUGGAAUGCGUAGAGAUCCGGAAGAACACCGGUGGCGAAGGCGGCCUGCUGGGCAGUAGCUGACACUGAGGCACGAAGGUCAGGGAGCAAACGGG
rnacentral:rRNA from 1 species